rnacentral:rRNA from 1 species
GAUGAACGCUGGCGGCGUGCCUAAUACAUGCAAGUCGAGCGAACAGACGAGGAGCUUGCUCCUCUGACGUUAGCGGCGGACGGGUGAGUAACACGUGGAUAACCUACCUAUAAGACUGGGAUAACUUCGGGAAACCGGAGCUAAUACCGGAUAAUAUAUUGAACCGCAUGGUUCAAUAGUGAAAGACGGUUUUGCUUUCACUUAUGGAGGGAUCCGCGCCGCAUUAGCUAGUUGGUAAGGUAACGGCUUACCAAGGCAACGAUGCGUAGCCGACCUGAGAGGGUGAUCGGCCACACUGGAACUGAGACACGGUCCAGACUCCUACGGGAGGCAGCAGUAGGGAAUCUUCCGCAAUGGGCGAAAGCCUGACGGAGCAACGCCGCGUGAGUGAUGAAGGUCUUCGGAUCGUAAAACUCUGUUAUUAGGGAAGAACAAAUGUGUAAGUAACUAUGCACGUCUUGACGGUACCUAAUCAGAAAGCCACGGCUAACUACGUG